CAAUAGCGUAUAUUAAAGUUGUUGCAGUUAAAAAGCUCGUAGUUGGAUUUCUGGUAGGAGCGACCGUGCCGAACUUGAUUGUUCGAGUAUUGUGUUGUCUUCAGCCAUCCUCGUGGAGAACUUUUCUAACAUUAACUUGUUGGGGUUGGGACCCGCGUCGUUUACUGUGAAAAAAUUAGAGUGUUUAAAGCAGGCAUUAGCUUGAAUACAUUAGCAUGGAAUAAUAAGAUAGGACUUUGGUACUAUUUUGUUGGUUUGCAUACCAAAUUAAUGAUCAACAGGAACAGUUUGAGGAUAUUCGUAUGAACAUGUCAGAGGUGAAAUUCUUGGAUUUUGAUCAGACGAACUACUGCGAAAGCAUUUAUCAAGGAUGUUUUCAUUAA
rnacentral:rRNA from 1 species